rnacentral:rRNA from 1 species
CAUAUGGAUUCCUACGGGAGGCAGCAGUGAGGAAUAUUGGACAAUGGAUGGAAAUCUGAUCCAGCCAUGCCGCGUGCAGGAAGACGGCCCUAUGGGUUGUAAACUGCUUUUGUAUGGGAGCAAUAAGGUCUAUGCGUAGACUGAUGAGAGUACCAUACGAAUAAGCAUCGGCUAACUCCGUGCCAGCAGCCGCGGUAAUACGGGGGAUGCAAGCGUUAUCCGGAUUUAUUGGGUUUAAAGGGUGCGUAGGCGGUUUGAUAAGUCAGCGGUGAAAUAUUUCAGCUUAACUGAAAGGGUGCCGUUGAUACUGUCAGGCUUGAAUAUGGUUGCUGUGGGUGGAAUGUGUGGUGUAGCGGUGAAAUGCUUAGAUAUCACACAGAAUAUCGAUUGCGAAGGCAGCUCACAAAGCCAUUAUUGACGCUGAUGCACGAAAGUGUGGGGAUCAAACAGGAUUAGAUACCCUGGUAGUCCACGCUGUAAACGAUGAUAACUCGCUGUCGGCGAUACACAGUCGGUAGCCAAGCGAAAGCGAUAAGUUAUCCACCUGGGGAGUACGACCGCAAGGUUGAAACUCAAAGGAAUUGACGGGGGCCCGCACAAGCGGAGGAACAUGUGGUUUAAUUCGAUGAUACGCGAGGAACCUUACCCGGGCUCGAACGGUGCAGGAAUACGUCAGAGAUGAUGUAGCUAGCAAUAGUCUGUAUCGAGGUGCUGCAUGGUUGUCGUCAGCUCGUGCCGUGAGGUGUCGGCUUAAGUGCCAUAACGAGCGCAACCCUUGUCGUUAGUUGCCAUCAGGUAAUGCUGGGAACUCUAGCGAGACUGCCACCGUAAGGUGUGAGGAAGGGGGGGAUGACGUCAAAUCAGCACGGCCCUUACGUCCGGGGCGACACACGUGUUACAAUGGUAGGUACAGAGGGCAGCUACCCAGCAAUGGGGUGCGAAUCUCAAAAGCCUAUCUCAGUUCGGAUCGGAGUCUGCAACUCGACUCCGUGAGGUUGGAGUCGCUAGUAAUCGCGCAUCAGCCAUGGCGCGGUG